rnacentral:rRNA from 1 species
AAUCAACGCUGGCGGCGUGCUUAACACAUGCAAGUCGAGCGGUAAGGCCCUUUCGGGGGUACACGAGCGGCGAACGGGUGAGUAACACGUGGGUGACCUGCCCUCAGCUCUGGGAUAAGCCUGGGAAACCGGGUCUAAUACUGGAUAUGACUCCAUGACGCAUGUUGUGGGGUGGAAAGCCUUGUGCGGCUGAGGAUGGGCCCGCGGCCUAUCAGCUUGUUGGGGGGUGAUGGCCUACCAAGGCGACGACGGGUAGCCGGCCUGAGAGGGCGACCGGCCACACUGGGACUGAGACACGGCCCAGACUCCUACGGGAGGCAGCAGUGGGGAAUCUUGCGCAAUGGGCGAAAGCCUGACGCAGCGACGCCGCGUGA